rnacentral:rRNA from 1 species
AUGCCGUUCGCCGGGGCCGUCCCCUUCACGGUCCUUCUUCUCCUCGCCGUCUUCUCCGCCGAGGAGCAGCCGUUCAAAGGCCUCGUGCCCGAGAACCGGAGCGUGGUCUUUGCCGGCAGCAACAUCACCGCCACGGCCGGCGCGGCGGCGAUGUGCUACCGAAGGAGCGGCGUCGGCGAAGAGGCCAAUCCGGGCAAGACGGUCCUCGACGUGGCCCCGCUCGCCGUGUGCCCUUCUCCUGCAAUUAGUAAGGGGUUGAGCGGGCGAGCAAAGGCAUGGUGCUGCUGGGGCCUCGCCGUGGCGAUGACGAUGGUCGUUUUCGUUGUGUGGCCAGAGACGUUCAUCGUAUCGCCCAUAGACCCCAACUUCACCGGUGAUGACGCGUCGGUGGUAGAUGGCGACGGCGACCGCGAGCUCUUCGACUGCGCCAUCUGCAUGGAGACGGUGCCCGGCGUCCUCAAGUUAAGCGUCGGCUCGUGCGGCCACGCCUUCUGCUCGAGCUGCGUCGUCCAGUACGUCGCGGCUAAGCUGGGCGAGAACGUCGCCUGCGUCAAAUGCCCCGACCCCGGCUGCAAGGAGGGUGCCGUCGAGCCGGAGAGCUGCUUCGGCAUCCUCUCCUCGGACCUGCUCGACAAGUGGGGUUUCCUGCUGUGCGAGUCCUUGCUCGGCGCCAAAACGGUGUACUGUCCAUACAGGGAAUGCUCAGCGCCUCUUCUCGCCGACGGCGAGGCCGGUGCGGCGGCGAUCGCGGAGGCCGAGUGCCCGCACUGCCACAGGCUGUUCUGCGCCCGGUGCGCCGCUCCGUGGCACGCCGGCGUCGGGUGCAGGGAGUUUCAGGAGCUCGGGCAGGACGAGCGAGGCCGGGAGGACCUCCUGCUGAGGACGCUCGCCGGACGGCAGAGGUGGCAGCGGUGCCCCAAGUGCAGGAUGUAUGUGGAGAAAUCGGAGGGAUGCAACUACAUCAAAUGCAGGUGUGGAAACAGCUUCUGCUACCGAUGUGCAUCCAAGGUGUCCGCGCUAACCCAUUACUGCAACAAGUGCAAGCGCUAG